GCUGCUUCACCUCUCUGAAAACAAUCUAACCUUCAACUAAACCUGCUCCAGAACAGGUUAUGUUCAGAGAAGGAGUUACUAUGGCAGCUUGACAAAUCUCCAUUUUUGGAACCGAAAGCUGAGGUUAUCCGCUUCCUUAGCCUCAAACCUACCGUGGUAACCAGCAUAACCUGGUUUCUGGAAUACCCCCCAGGAUAAAGAGGUGUCCCCAGGUCAGCAAUGAGAAACACUCAUAAACAUAACUGGUGUCUGCCGUAGUGCUGUCAGUGAAGAACACCAGCCUAAUCUUCCCUUCAUGGCCACAAGUUAAAAUGGAUGCGCAAAAUGGUUGAAAAAAAAAAAGGGAGGUUCACUUUCCAGCUCACUUUUGACUACAAUAUACCAGUAAAGUCACCAAUACUGCAGAAGCCAACAUAAUUAUUCUGGUAAUCAGAACUAUAAUACAAACAUUGACCUUAACAGUUGCUUGAUUCUGCAAACAAAACCUUUGCUUGUACCUUUGCUUGACUUGAUUGGGAAAUUAACGAAGCUAUUGUUUGUUCCAGGACUGUCUCAUAAUGAUAGUAAUAAAUAAAACUUUAUUUGUAUAGCACCUGUCAAGGUUAAAAUCCCAAAGUGCUUCACAGUAAAAUAUGGUAAAACACAAUAAAACACAGUAAAAACAGUAAAACACAGAAUACGAAAGUACAUAAAUAUCUCAGUAUUAUUUGACUUGGUGGAAAACAUGGUCUCAGUCAUCCUGUUUUUAAUCUUGAAGCUUCUAUGGCUUUUUCUUAUAUCUGGUUGGACCUCUGGUAAAUAUACACAUCCAGUCAUGACAGUAUCCAUGAGGUUUAUAUUCACGUUCCUGCCUGGCUGACAUUAUUCCCACUACUUCCAGUAAAGUCACAUGCUUUGCAUGAAAUCUGUUUCGGAAACAUGAUGACUGUUGUUGUGAUGAAAUUAGAUUUCUCCUUCACUGUCACACCUUAAACUCCAGUGACACAUGAGAGAAUCUCAUAUGAUCUUUCAACUGAACUUCCACUGAAAAACUUCCUGUUUUUUUUCUUACGCCUGCCAUGACUCAUGCUGCAUGCUGCCUCAGUGGAGGAGGUAGGGGGUGGAGACCAUGAUACAACAGAUCAUGUGCUAUGGAGGAUCUAGACUUCUUUUGUUUUAAUUACAGUGUUGGAAAAGAAACAAAUGUGUCUCAAUUUAGAAUAAUACUCACUUUUUUAUAUAUAUAAAUGUUACUUGCCAUUCCUGUUGACCGAAAACAAGAAAAAGUGAGACAUUCUGUGACCGACACUCACAAAGAGAUGUAAAGAUUACACCAUUCAGUCAGUUUGGAGGAUUCUGAGCAGAUGACCUGCAUUUUUUCUAAAUUGUUGGUUUCUGUUUACAAACCUUUGAUCGUUGCUCCCACCUUUUCUAUUUAUUCUGGUGUAGAUCAGCAGCUGUCAUUCAGGUUGUCUCCCUGCUUUUGCUGUAAAGGUAAUAAUGGAUCACCCACGUGUCUGACAGUUGAUGGGAGAUUGUAAUGUAAGACAAACUUCUUUUCUUAGGGGCUUUCUCACACUGGCUAAUGUUGUUUGGUCCAUACUUGUAUGUGACUAUUUACUUAGUCAAACGUCUCCCUGCCAAGCCCUUACACUGUUCAAUAAAAUAUAGGUCCGACCCUGCACUGUUACAAACACUAAACACAGGAAGUGGUUACAAUCUUUAAUGAAUAUGUAUUAUAGAAAGACACAAUAACAGAGGUUUUUAUUUGUAACACGGAGCCAACAAAUCAUUUUAUUAUAGGACAUCUACGUUCAUCUGUCCUCUUCCUCGCAUGUGGGACCGGGUCGUGGGGCAGCAGUCUAGGCAAAGAUAUCCAGUCUUCCCUCUCCGCAGCCCGAGGCGUUCCCAGGGUGGUCAAAAGACGUAGUCCUGGGUCUUCCCUGAGGCUUACACCCAUUAGGACAAGUCUAGAACACCUCCCAGUGAAGGCGUUCAGGAGGCUUUCGGACCAGAUGACCAAACCACCUCAACUGGCUCCUGUCGAUGUGGAGGAGCAGUGUGUCUACUCAGAGCUUCUCACCUUAUCUCCAAGGGAACGCCAAGCCACCCUACAGAGGAAGCUCAUUUCGGCCGCUUGUACACAUCUGCAUUGUUUUUUCUAUAGUUUCAAUCUUGAAGGCAAUAAGGCAAUAAACUGUUCUCCGUUGAUUCAAGGUACUUUACUUACUACACAAACUGUUUGGUGCUCUUCAGGAAAACAUUUAACAAUGAUAUUCUUUAACAAAAAUAUUCAUGAGUGAAGAUGUCCCCAUGGCUGCCCUCUUGGUUGUACAAUCAGUAACAAAAAAAAUCUCAGCAACUCAGAAAAUAAAGUGCAAUUUGUGCAACUAUGCUUUUCAUAAAAACAGGACUUUCCACUAUUAUUCUGAUAAAGUAUUAACUUUUAAUUAUGUGGAAAUGUUUUAUUUCUGGAUUUAUAUCUGUUAAUAUAAUUUUAUCCACAACUUCUUGGAACCAACAGAGGGGGAGCGUUCUUGUUUUUGUCAUUUUGUGUGGUCAGUCACGGUGUAAGUUUCCCUUUAAUUCAGGUUUUUUCUUUCUGAAAGCUGUUGCAGUUCAUCAUUUGACCACAGAGUCCCACAAACAAUUCUGAAAACUUUAAAAAUGAAAUAAAUAAAAGGCCUCUCUGCUUCUGCUGUGAUGGACGCUGCAAGAUCUCUGGGGUCUUCCAGCUAACUCUACUUGUGCCGUCAUGUUGUAGGAGAGCUCUAGGGUGACUGAGUCUCAGGAAUUUCUCAACAAACCCCCCCUCCUGCCCCUUUAUCCCUGACAGGGCAACGUCUGGCUGAGGACAGCCACCCCAUUGUUAUGUGCCAGUUGGUCGAGGUGUGGCUCUUCUGCUGAAUUACACUCAUGGACAUCAGUAAAUGACAAGAUUAUAUCAACCAUGAAUGAAACAGAGGAGGAGACAUCGUCUUUGGGUGAAUGUGUGUAAAUGCGGUUCCAGUUUGAAAAUGAAAUAAAACUGAAACUGCAUUUGUCUAUCAAGAUUACGAUGCACCUGGUUUUUCCCCAAUUCCCCAUCAACACCUGGGGCCACAGAACAAACAGAGCAGCAGAGUUCAGCUAUACAGAUAGAAAGACCAAAACCAGUUUUUCAGGAAGCAGUGGUUCAUCAGAUGUGGCUAAAAAAACCUCAGUCUCAGCUCACACGGAGCUCACAGCACAACACUCGUCGAGUAUCACAACUACGUGGACACAAAUUAGCACAUAUCAAAGAAUUUCAGUUUUUGGUGCUUGAACAAGACACUCGAACAAACUGUGUGGCUGUGUACAGAAGGAAGCUGAUAAGCUGACGGCAAACACAACAAGUCAGUUCCAGGAAGAACCAUUCACACAGGGAGGGGGGGAGGGGAAGGCCGCUCGUUCUGUUUCAAUGGUUAAGACUUUGCUUUCAGUUUUGUGUUUUUAUAGAGACGUUAUGGAGAUUAUGGAGGUCAGGAGGAACGAGUGGAAGCAGGAAGAAAAGGAAGGAGUUGAAUUGUUGGAUCAGAGACAUCGCAAUAGCCUAAAGGAUGGUUUAUCUUUUGAGAUAUUUUAAAAACCUUCCCAGUGUUUAUUUAAGUAUCAUUAUGCAGUUUUUAGCCAAAAUAACAAAACAUUGUUUUUUAGGACACAGUUUCUACGGAGCAGCAGUAGUUCAUUAAAAAUUUACCUCUCAGUUGCGGUGUGCAGCAAGCCCACCCCGACUUCCCGUCAUACACCUGCUUAGACACUAGCUUGCAUUACCUUAAACCCCCAAUCUAACAUCUUGGUGUUGUGGCAAGCAAUGUUGGAUCUAUCCUAGCGUACAUUUUGAAGACAGGAAAAACCAAGAGGUGUUUAAUCUAGUCUUCCUCUAUUGGAUGCAUCUGAAUGGAGCAGUACAGGGUGCUUGUGUGUAUUUCUGUCACAGAUAAAGGUACCUUUUUUCAUCUGAUUCUGAUUCACAACAAUUUGAAUAAAGAAAUACUCAGAAAAACAA